AGAUUGCUUUCCGGUUGCCUUCCUGGAAAACAUCUGCUGCAUUCAACCAGAGUAUAUGAGGGGACAAUUAAGAAUCAUGUGUGUUAUAAGCAUGUGAGGAACUAGGAGAAAAAGGAAAAUCUGUACCAUGGCCCUCUAUUCUCUUCUUGUGCAAGACGCUUGCCGAACUCAAGCCAGCUGUUUCUCUGUCUACGCUGGAACACGCACAGCCAGCAUUGCCGACAUGAGGCAGUGCCCUGUUAUUCAUCCAGAGGCUUCCGCACUCCCACAGGCUCCUGCAUAUGUUCCUGAAUGGCCUCUACCCAUUUUCUGACUGGAGAGAAAAUGUGAGAGCAGUCUGAGUAAGAAUCUCCUCAGGGUAUGGGGAAAGACAUGGAGGGGAUAAAGUACCCUCGGAGAAUGAAGAUGAGACCAGUAUGAGUGUAUAGGCUGGCUCCAGUCAUGGACUAUUGGACGUUGAGACAGGACAAGCAUGCCCUACAGUAUUCCACAGCUUCAAAGCUGGAUGAUUCACAGCAUGCUGAAUGAUCUCUACUCAUCUCACUAUUAAUACCUGAGGACCCCAGCUAGCAUUUGCAGAUUCUACUCAAGACACUAGAGGUUCCAUCAGUGAAGAAGACUUCCUCUCCUAGAGCUUAUGUUUCUGUUGGAUUCUCACUUCUAGCAUACAUUUCUAUGUUUUAAUCUCCAUGACAACAGCAACAAUGCUUGAGUUUACUACGCCUAUGAAGGAACAAUACACUUUUACUGCUGUGCAUCUUGUUAUAGAAUCACUAAAGUAUCUGUUUUCCUGGCAUGGGUACAGAAUUACCAGAUAUCAGAGACUAUAGAAGUAAACAGCAGAAAUACAAGUUCACUCCGUAAUUUCCCAAUAUUUGCUCUAUAUCCUUUAAUUCUUUGAAAUCUACAUUACCAUGUGGAAGUGUAUUUUAUGACUUCUCUGGUAGAUGUUUAUAAGGGAACUCUGAGGAGAAACUGCCUAGAAGUUGGUUUCCUAUGUAGGGGAAGCAAGAUCCAGAAUACAUAUUUCUUAGAGACAUGUGGUGGGCACAUUUUAAGAGAUUUUUAAUUGGACAGCUGCAGGAAGUGCUGACCAAGGAAAGAGUGGGCAAAGUUGGGAAGACUGUGUUAUUUCUGAAACCUCGGCUGUCUCUACCAACCUAAUACGAAUCUGUUUAACAUCUGAAAACAAAAAGCCUUUGAACCUUCAGAACACUCAGAGUAAGUAGGCUACUGAAUGGAGUAAAGGCUUUGACAAAGGCAAUGUUAUAUACUCACCAAUUUUUUUUCUUUUCUCUUGGCUAGACAGGAAGACAGAAUAUCCUGCUUGCCUUGCAUAGAUAUGUUCUGGCCAAUGGAAUUUGGGCAGGGCAUACUAUUCCCAGACCUGGGUCUGGAAAUGUGGCAAACAUCCAUAUUUUAUGGGUGAUCAGAUGCAGAGAGGUCAGUGGAGAACUUCAGAGCUCUAAGGCCUUGAAGAUCCCACAAGGCCAGUUAGAUGGGACAGUCUGAGUACUUGGAUAACUGCUCAUUACACCACAUCUCCUCCAAGAGCACAACAACAGGCUGAUUUCCAUUAGAAUGUGACAUGACCACAAACUAAAAGUUUAUUGUAAGCCAAAAGACAUAGGGCCAUUUAUUCCAACUUCCAGUAUUGUUUACAUUGUGUAGUUUUGUCCCAUUUAUUUGAAUCAAAUAUAUAAUUUUAAGUUAUUUUAUAUGUAAAACAUCAAGAAUAGCACAGGUAUUUAAAAAACUAUUAUCUGCAUAUUUCCAAGAUAAUAGAUUCCGAAGUUGACAUGUCCAUGCACAUGUUAGAGUUGGUCAUUACUAACUUCAGGUUACUUAUGGUCAUUACUCACUUUCCUUUAGUAAGUGUACCUGUUCAAUAUAUGUCUACUUUAUUCAAAAUUAAUAAAUGGAUAGAUUUAGCAAGUGAUUGCUAUCUUCUGAUAAGCAGGGUAAAAUUUACAUAGCUGAUUUCUGGGUAGAAGUGACCCAGCUCUGUAGUUUGAGAAAAGACUACUAAUAAUUUAGUAGUCUUGGAAGCAAGAAUCAUACUGUGUAAAGAUAGAAAGCUCCACAAUAUCACAACUCUUUCCUAUGUUGGUAAGUCGUUGUCCAAGACUCAACUCAUUGCUCACAGGAGUGUGGGCUGAGUAUUCCAGUUCAGAUGGAAGGUACUGAAUUUUGGGAGGGAAGCCUAUGUCAGCUUGAAGUUUCUGAUGUCUUAUUUUUAUAACCCACAGACCCUUACAAAGUAGGAACUAUGAGCUGGAAUCAUGAGUGGGCAAUAAGAUUAGCCAAAGGCUCUUACUCUUGUUUUAUCCUUUGGCAUGAUAGAGAAUGCUGCUAUCCCUACAACUACCCCUGGGUUCCUGAUGUAUCUUUCACCUACACAUACUCAGCUGCUUACUGCUCAGGCACGGGUCAAACAAUGCCUACUCCAAACUAAUUUCAUAGGUGUUCCUCAAACAGCUUGUUAUACUCUCUCUCUUUUUACCUUUCACUGCAUCUGUGUGUUUUAGCAUCUAAAAUAUUUGCCUAGCUGUUUAAAUAUGUCUGUAUUUUAUUUCCUUUUAUAGUUGUUGGGACAACUGUGUUUUAUUCAAAGACAGAAUUCCAAGAGAACAGAAGUAAGCUUAUGAAUAUUGGGAAUUAUUAUUCCAGGCUGUCUCUCACAAAAUAAUGGGGCUAAAGUUAGUGUCAGGACACAAAAAUAUUUUCUUUUUUGUUUUUGGUCUCUGGAGUACCAUUCCAUGUACAUUCUGGCUCUAGCACUCAUAAGCCAUUGGUCAGGGACCUUACCUCUCACAGCAUUAGUCUAUUCUCACAUUAAAUGAGAUUAGCAAUAAGAUUAUAACAAAAUAUUUAGAAAGAUCCUUGCACACAUUCCAGUGAAUUAUGUUAUUAUCACAACCAUUAUCGUCACCACUAUCCCCACCACCACUAUCAUUUCAUUUGAAAAUCGCAGAGCAGUUUUGUUGUUAUUUUAAACAGAAAUUAAGAACUCAAAUGUCUUUACAAACUAGAAAAGCAAUGUGAGAAUAGUAAAAUAUGAAGGGGAGCAGCCAGUCACAACAUCGUAUGAUUAAUGCUGUUGUAGGACUGCUAAGAAGGAACAGAGCGGGGGAUCGGAAAUACUAAAAGGAAAUACACUAACAGAAACAACAGCAAGAAUUAGUGUUAGUAAUCCUAAGAGACGUGAAUGUAUUAAGACGUGUUCAGCUGAGAAUAUAAAUAUAAUUAGAAGUUAGCUGCAAGGGCCGGAGAGAAGAAUGAUAGAAGUAGAGGGGUCAGAAGAGAUGAGUGUAAUGCACAUUAUAUUGGUAAACUGUCUGAGAAGCUGGCUCUGGAAGCUGGAGUCCCUCCUCCCAUUCCAGACCUAAACCUGCUUGUCUCAAAGGUCCCUUGUCUAGGGAUGAUCUAGCACCCCUCCACCAACUCUGUGACAAAGAGAGAGCAGCUAAAUAGCCAGAGUGAAACCAUAGUGCCCUUGAGAAUGGCUACAAGGUAAACUAUUUUCUAUUGAUGCCGUUAUUGUUUGCAUCAUGAUGCAAGAGUAAAACAGAACCCAGAGGUUCAGCCAUGGCAAGCUCAUCCACAAACAGAAAGCUCAAACUGGGAGCUUCAGUUGAUUGCCUCAACUAUCCAGGCUGGUUCCUUCUGGAUGUCAUGAGCCCACAGGGCGAUGGUGUUAUCUUUGCUGUAUUUGUUCUUUUACUCAGAAGGCUCACCUAAGGUACAUGGUUCAGCUCAGGAAUCUCCCAAUCAGGAAUUUCAGCUGAAUGCCAUAACAGGGAGUCCCUAGCCCACUUCUACUGGAUGUUUUGAAUACCUGAUUUAAUGUUUAUUUGUUGUCUGUAUGACUGCCUAUCUUUCUAUAUCUAUCUCCAUCCAUCCAUCCAUCCAUCCAUCCAUCCAUCCAUCCAUCCAUCCAUCGAUGAAACUGCUGGCCAGCCUACUCAAGCUGUAGUCGCUCUGCCCAGUGCCCAGACCAGCCUGCGCAAGCAUGCAUGGCAGGUGUUUCCUUCCUGAGACAAACCGGCCUCUACACCCAGAGACUGCCGAGGAAGAGACACUUGACAGGAGAUACCAAUGAGAAAAGGACAACACAGUAGAGUCAGCAGCCUGAGCCAAUGGGACUUUGGGAGGGGGUAUAAAGGCAAUCCUAACUUCCUUAAUAAACGAGUCUGCAGCACGCUCUGCUGCUCACUGA